rnacentral:rRNA from 1 species
UAAGGGCGCACGGUGGAUGCCUUGGCACUAGAAGCCGAUGAAGGACGUUACUAACGACGAUAUGCUUUGGGGAGCUGUAAGUAAGCUUUGAUCCAGAGAUUUCCGAAUGGGGAAACCCAGCAUGAGUUAUGUCAUGUUAUCGAUAUGUGAAUACAUAGCAUAUCAGAAGGCACACCCGGAGAACUGAAACAUCUUAGUACCCGGAGGAAGAGAAAGAAAAUUCGAUUCCCUUAGUAGCGGCGAGCGAAACGGGAAGAGCCCAAACCAACAAGCUUGCUUGUUGGGGUUGUAGGACACUCUAUACGGAGUUACAAAGGACGACAUUAGACGAAUCAUCUGGAAAGAUGAAUCAAAGAAGGUAAUAAUCCUGUAGUCGAAAAUGUUGUCUCUCUUGAGUGGAUCCUGAGUACGACGGAGCACGUGAAAUUCCGUCGGAAUCUGGGAGGACCAUCUCCUAAGGCUAAAUACUCUCUAGUGACCGAUAGUGAACCAGUACCGUGAGGGAAAGGUGAAAAGCACCCCGGAAGGGGAGUGAAAUAGAACCUGAAACCGUGUGCUUACAAGUAGUCAGAGCCCGUUAAUGGGUGAUGGCGUGCCUUUUGUAGAAUGAACCGGCGAGUUACGAUUUGAUGCAAGGUUAAGCAGUAA